rnacentral:rRNA from 1 species
UACGUAGGUGGCAAGCGUUGUCCGGAAUUAUUGGGCGUAAAGCGCGCGCAGGCGGUCCUUUAAGUCUGAUGUGAAAGCCCACGGCUCAACCGUGGAGGGUCAUUGGAAACUGGGGGACUUGAGUACAGAAGAGGAAAGCGGAAUUCCACGUGUAGCGGUGAAAUGCGUAGAGAUGUGGAGGAACACCAGAGGCGAAGGCGGCUUUCUGGUCUGUAACUGACGCUGAGGCGCGAAAGCGUGGGGAGCAAACAGG